UAAGGAAUAUUGGUCAAUGGACGCAAGUCUGAACCAGCCAUGCCGCGUGAAGGAUGAAGGUCCUCUGGAUUGUAAACUUCUUUUAUCUGGGACGAAAACGGGAUUUUUAUCUCAAUUGACGGUACCAGAGGAAUAAGCACCGGCUAACUCCGUGCCAGCAGCCGCGGUAAUACGGAGGGUGCAAGCGUUAUCCGGAUUCACUGGGUUUAAAGGGUGCGUAGGCGGGCAGGUAAGUCAGUGGUGAAAUCUUCCGGCUUAACCGGAAAACUGCCGUUGAUACUAGUUGUCUUGAAUAUUGCGGAGGUAAGCGGAAUAUGUCAUGUAGAGGUGAAAUGCAUAGAUAUGACAUGGAACACCAAUUGCGAAGGCAGCUUAUUACACAAUGAUUGACGCUGAUGCACGAAAGCGUGGGGAGCGAACA
rnacentral:rRNA from 1 species